AUUGAACGCUGGCGGCAGGCCUAACACAUGCAAGUCGAGCGGAUGAAGGUCGCUUGCUCCUUACUUCAGUGGCGGACGGGUGAGUAAUGCCUAGGUAACUGCCUCGUAGUGGGGGAUUACGUCCGGGAACGGGCGCUAAUACCGCAUACGUACUGAGGGCGACAGUGGGGGGUCUUCGGACCUCCCGCUAUCAGAUGAGCCUAGGCCGGUUUAGCUAGUUGGUGGGGUAAAGGCGUGCCCAGGCGACGAUCCGUAACUGGUCUGAGAGGAUGUGGAGUCACAGUGGGACUGAGACACGGUCCAGACUCCGAGGGGCGGCAGAAGUGGGGAAGAUUGGACACUGGGGGGAAGCCUGAUCCAGCCAUGCAGGGUGUGUGAAGAAGGUCUUCGGAUGGGAAAGCAGUUUAAGUUGGGAGGAAGGGUAGUAAGUUAAAACCUGGCUUGUGUGACGGUACCAGCAGAAGAAGCACCGGCUAACUUCGUG
rnacentral:rRNA from 1 species